GAGAAAGAGAGGGGAGGCAGAAAAUGUCUGCCUUUUAUUUGGAAUAUGACGAUGACAUAACUGCUCCCAGGUGAAGUUGGGAACUAAGCCAGAGGUAUGCUGGGAAAUGUAUGGCCGUUGCCAUGGCAACAGUGACCAGGCAGUGUCCCUGCUGGAGGUGAAAGAAAUUCCUGAUACCAACAGAGGGGUCUAGGGAGGGAAUUACACAGCUUCACAGUUGAAGAAGGUGAGGGAUUUGCUAGCACUGCCCGUGUGGUCCUGAAGAAACUUAGAACAGAAACAACCUUACAGCUCUAAGUGGGAGCUUCUUAGACACAAAUCCCAGAUAAGAAUUGGGGCAAAAAUCCCUACUUCAGUGCUUAGGAGGAUAUAAGAGGUUUCUCUGCUUUAAUUUUUUUUUUUAGGUUCAAAGGUUUGGGUGUGUGUCCAUAGGGUUCUUGUGUGUCUGAAGGCUUGAUCAUUGGAGUAAGGCGACUGAAGGGUAGCAAUACCUUAAGAGGUGGAGCCUAAUGCUAGAUGGGGCUCCAGGAUUUUCACUUGCUACCAAGUGUAAGCAGUUUUGUUCAAACAUGAUCUCUUGCUGGGAUAGGCCCACCCACAGACCACUGAAGAUGGAGCCAUGGGGAGGUGACUGGAGAAAGUCGUGGGUAUAAGCUAUGAGUCACGGUCAACCUGUUCUAAACGGAUGGCUCAGGGACUUUGUUCUGGAGACAGAAAGACUUGAAUACUGAUGUGGCCGGAACCUCAGAGUCACCUGGACUCAAAGUUACAGAAGCUAAGAGGUUCCCCCCAGCUGCCAGCUGCUAUUGCUGGGGGCUUCUGCCAAGGAGGACGUCUCUGUGUGGAGAGGCUUUGAGUGCUUGCAGCAGGACAGUGACUUCCUGAUUCACUGUGGACCUGCGAAGGGACUUGAACACAGCACAGCCUGUCGUCUGAUUCUGUAGGUCCUGCGCCUGAGGAUUCAACCAAUCACCAGCUGAAG
rnacentral:sRNA from 1 species